rnacentral:rRNA from 1 species
UACGAAGGUGGCAAGCGUUGUUCGGAAUUACUGGGCGUAAAGCGCGUGUAGGCGGCUAAGUAAGUCGGGCGUGAAAUCCCACGGCUCAACCGUGGAAGUGCACUCGAAACUGCAUAGCUAGAGUCCUGGAGAGGAAGGUGGAAUGCUUGGUGUAGAGGUGAAAUUCGUAGAUAUCAAGCGGAACACCGGUGGCGAAGGCGGCCUUCUGGACAGUGACUGACGCUGAGACGCGAAAGCGUGGGGAGCAAACAGG